GACGAACGCUGGCGGCGUGCUUAACACAUGCAAGUCGAACGGAAAGGCUCUGCUUUUGUUGGGUGCUCGAGUGGCGAACGGGUGAGUAACACGUGAGUAACCUGCCCUUGACUUUGGGAUAACUUCAGGAAACUGGGGCUAAUACCGGAUAGGAGCUCCUGCUGCAUGGUGGGGGUUGGAAAGUUUCGGCGGUUGGGGAUGGACUCGCGGCUUAUCAGCUUGUUGGUGGGGUAGUGGCUUACCAAGGCUUUGACGGGUAGCCGGCCUGAGAGGGUGACCGGCCACAUUGGGACUGGGAUACGGCCCAGACGGCUACGGGAGGCAGCAGUGGGGGAUAUUGCACAAUGGGCGGAAGCCUGAUGCAGCAACGCCGCGUGCGGGAUGACGGCCUUCGGGUUGUAAACCGCUUUCGCCUGUGACGAAGCGUGAGUGACGGUAAUGGGUAAAGAAGCACCGGCUAACUACGUG
rnacentral:rRNA from 1 species